UUUUUACUCCCUCCGUUCUGAAUUACUCGUCGCAGAAAUGGAUGUAUCUAGAUGUAUUUUAGUUCUAGAUACAUCCAUUUCUACGACAAGUAAUUUGGACCGGGGGGGUAAUAG
rnacentral:pre_miRNA from 1 species